AUACGGAGGGUCCAAGCGUUAUCCGGAAUCAUUCGGUUUAAAGGGUUCGUAGGCGGGUCAAUAAGUCAGAGGUGAAAUCUUGCAGCUUAACUGUAAAAUUGCCUUUGAAACUGUUGACCUUGAAUUACUGUGAAGUGGUUAGAAUAUGUAGUGUAGCGGUGAAAUGCUUAGAGAUUACAUAGAAUACCGAUUGCGAAGGCAGAUCACUAACAGUAUAUUGACGCUGAUGAACGAAAGCGUGGGUAGCGAACGGGAUUAGAAACCCUAGUAGUCC
rnacentral:rRNA from 1 species